GACGAAGGAUCCAAGCGUUAUCCGGAUUUAUUGGGUUUAAAGGGUGCGUAGGCGGAUUGAUAAGUCAGUGGUGAAAGCCUGCAGCUUAACUGCAGAACUGCCAUUGAUACUGUCAAUCUUGAAUAUGGUUGAUGUGGGCGGAAUAUGACAUGUAGCGGUGAAAUGCUUAGAUAUGUCAUAGAACACCGAUUGCGAAGGCAGCUCACAAAGCCAUUAUUGACGCUGAGGCACGAAAGCGUGGGGGAUCAAAACAGG
rnacentral:rRNA from 1 species